rnacentral:rRNA from 1 species
CCCGGGGGGCAGCAGUGAGGAAUAUUGGUCAAUGGGCGGGAGCCUGAACCAGCCAAGCCGCGUGAGGGAAGAAGGUACAGCGUAUCGUAAACCUCUUUUGUCAGGGAACAAAGGCGGGGACUAGUCCCCGGAUGAGGGUACCUGAAGAAAAAGCAUCGGUUAACUCCGUGCCAGCAGCCGCGGUAAUACGGAGGAUGCGAGCGUUAUCCGGAUUUAUUGGGUUUAAAGGGUGCGUAGGCGGAAUGCCAAGUCAGCGGUAAAAUCGCGGGGCUCAACCUCGCUCCGCCGUUGAAACUGGCGUUCUU